rnacentral:rRNA from 1 species
GAUGAACGCUGGCGGCGUGCCUAAUACAUGCAAGUCGAGCGAACAGAUGAGGAGCUUGCUCCUCUGACGUUAGCGGCGGACGGGUGAGUAACACGUGGAUAACCUACCUAUAAGACUGGGAUAACUUCGGGAAACCGGAGCUAAUACCGGAUAAUAUAUUGAACCGCAUGGUUCAAUAGUGAAAGACGGUUUUGCUGUCACUUAUAGAUGGAUCCGCGCCGCAUUAGCUAGUUGGUAAGGUAACGGCUUACCAAGGCAACGAUGCGUAGCCGACCUGAGAGGGUGAUCGGCCACACUGCAACUGAGACACGGUCCAGACUCCUACGGGAGGCAGCAGUAGGGAAUCUUCCGCAAUGGGCGAAAGCCUGACGGAGCAACGCCGCGUGAGUGAUGAAGGUCUUCGGAUCGUAAAACUCUGUUAUUAGGGAAGAACAAAUGUGUAAGUACCUAUGCACGUCUUGACGGUACCUAAUCAGAAAGCCACGGCUAACUACGUG